CGGCCGCGCCGCAGAAGGUGAAGGAACAGCGCGAGGCACGCAGCCGCCGCACCGUGGCGCGCACGAGCUCAGCCGGCCGGCGACCCCAGCGCGCCCACAGGACAGUGGCAGCCGGAAAGUGGGUUCCUGCAUGGUAACAAGACCUUAAAAUUGUGUCACUGGAGAAGGACGUGCAGUUCCCGCUGAGGAGAGACUUGGCCACUCCAGGACAACACAGGACUACAAGUCAGGAAUUUGAAGAUGAAAAGUGCUCAACAGUGAUAAAUCCUAAAUGUUUCACUGAACAACCUUUCAGAUAGCCUUCUUGAAGUUUGCUGAAUUAUGGCUAUAAGGACCACUCCCCACCCCUGCUAGAUGAAGUCUCACUUGCCCAGGUUGCAGUGAGCCGAGAUUGCACCACUGCACUCAAGCCUGGGUGACAGAAAAAGACUCCAUCUC
rnacentral:lncRNA from 2 species